GCCAAGAUCGAAGAGCGACUACCAUAUCGGAGUAGUAUUAUUUUAAGCCAUACAAAUAAAGCAGGAGCCUUAAAGAGCAAUAGCAGACUGAGCUCAUCUCCAGGGAACAAUGAAUAUCUGCAGAUAUGCAGGUCCUUGGUCAUGGAAGUCUGCGCGUCUGGUGUUCGACCCUAUGCAGCGUCCCUGGUCCUGCCCCAUGUGCCCGUCCUCUCGUACGGUCCCUUGGAACCCCUCUCCGGCCAGCUUGGCACGCCCGGAGGGCGCACCUUUUGGGGUGGGGGGGCGGGGUGGGGUACUGUCACGUAUAGACCCGCCCUGUUUGUCUUUCCCUCGGGCGUGGCUCCAGCCAUACUGAGCCUUGUUAGUUUUCUCUUGUUCUUGCCCUCUUGUUAACCAGCCAUAGCUGCCUUGUGUUUGCCCCUUUGUUUAGCCCCAUAUGUUAACGUCUUUUAGUCCUCUGCUCCUUGUUUGGUCAAUGUUCUCUGUCUACAUGUCUUAUCAUGCCUGUUCUUUGCAAUAAACACCCCAUUGAGGGGUUUACCUUCCCAUA